AAAAAAUCUAAUAAGCAUCAAGCCAUGUCCAGAUAAGCACAGCAGUCUACAUAACCAUCCAAGCCAAAUGCAUUAUACUUGCAGCACGCCAUGGCCUUCCACACCGUAAAUCCCAUGUCCUGCAAAACGAUGAUCGUCAAACUGCAGCAUGAGCAACAUAUUCAGCUAGUAUCAAACCAACCCUACAAACGCACGCCAAAUACCUGCAGUUUCAUAAAAGGAAGCUAAUAAGGACAAAUACAUAACUCCGUGUACUAAUGUCGAAUGUUAUUUUUCUGCAUUAUGAGCAUCCUGCAGAAUCCCAUACGGUAAAGUAUCUGGCAGUGUUAUUCCUAGUUCUGGAAAAUGACAGUUCACAAUGACAUGGCUUAUUUAAGUCCCCAUUAACUCCGGUCAUUCGAGCUCGAGGUGUCAGGGAGAUGGGAUCUGUCUUAGUACACAGUCAAGCGGCCACAACGUGUCGCUGCAACAUCACAAUAACCAGCAAUAAUUAGUUGCAAUAGCAAUAAGCUUCGCACCAAAUGUAGUGUCACCGUUAACAACAAAUUCAACAAUAUGUAUUAGCGGUACCAACAAUGCAUUGAAGCCAUUUCCGAGUGUGCAAGUCACUUACCAUUUCUCUAACCGUGUAACCAAACUAACAUGUAGAUAACCUGCAAGAAAAAACGAACCAUUGGCAUUAUAAGAUAACCAUAAAUCCAUUACAUGAGCUCCCAAACGGCUAUGCUGCAUAUUUUCCAUGACCCUCUUGUAGCAGGAAACCGAACCAUGUCGAAAAACCUGAGAUGAACCAUGACAGAAGCCUAUUACCCAAACCACCAAUUUGAAUUCGAAUGAACAUAUGUUAGGAUCAUACAGACAAAUACACGACGCAAAUAAAAGUUAGGAAGAAACAGAGCAGGCAAGACGAAUGUUCCUAACGAAGAAGCUUUCCACAGAGAAAUCACAAACAGAUGCCGAAAUCACCCUGAUGUAUCAGUCAACAAGGACCAUCCUGCAUUGAGGCAAGAGUGAGUUACAACCAGAAUUCUUUUAAAGAACAAAGCAAAGCCUUGUGAAGCUGACGAAUACUAAACAUUCACCAUCGCUUUUACACUUCUCAGAGGCUCAUACUCUCGUCUCUAAGCAAUUCGAAAUGCAAGCCAAG
rnacentral:lncRNA from 1 species